GGAAUAUUGGACAAUGGGCGAAAGCCUGAUCCAACCAUGCCGCGUGUGUGAAGAAGGUCUUCGGAUUGUAAAGCACUUUAAGUUGGGAGGAAGGGUAGUAACUUAAUACGUUGCUACUUUGACGUUACCGACAGAAUAAGCACCGGCUAACUUCGUGCCAGCAGCCGCGGUAAUACGAAGGGUGCAAGCGUUAAUCGGAAUUACUGGGCGUAAAGCGCGCGUAGGUGGUUCAGUAAGUUGAAUGUGAAAUCCCCGGGCUCAACCUGGGAACUGCAUCCAAAACUGCUGAGCUAGAGUACGGUAGAGGGUAGUGGAAUUUCCUGUGUAGCGGUGAAAUGCGUAGAUAUAGGAAGGAACACCAGUGGCGAAGGCGACUACCUGGACUGGUACUGACACUGAGGUGCGAAAGCGUGGGGAGCAAACAGGAUUAGAUACCCUUG
rnacentral:rRNA from 1 species